CGGGGCACAGCGAGCGCACAAAAGCUGCUUUGUCCCCUCUGCACGGCUCUGGGGGACACCUGUAGCUGAUCCAGCCUGGAAACUGCAGGCACUCCAGCUCCCACUGCAGGAAGAUGACUGAGCUCAGCAGCUCAGGAAAAAAACGAUGGACCCCCUGCCUGAAUCCUAAAGCUCCUACAUGCACUUUAGGAUGCACCUGAAAUGGCAUUUAUGCCGUAUUACAGCAAGACUCUUUAAACCUUGCUGGUAAGUUUCUGAAAUCCCAUUCAUUUAUGUUAUCCCAGCUUGAGUGCCUGCCUGUGGUGUUUGUAACUGACUUAGUUUAAUCUAAGCAGAUUUAGCACUAAUAACUAGAGCUCACUAAUGCAUAUUGCAAUUAUGUAUCACACUGGGAAAUCCUGUCCCCCAAGCAAAAACAUUGCUGCCUCCCACUAGUAGAAGCAACAAAUACUAAUCUAAAAAGAUCCCCAGAUGUUCCAGACACUGCUCACUCCCAUUCACAAGUAACUUCUUCUAUGGCAUUCAAGGAGGCAAAGCUUAAGCAGCACGUUUUAUCCCAGUUUUAAUGAUAUAUGGAUUUAAUUCAGGAUUCCUGGUAACACUCCCGCUGAACUUUCACAUUUGUCCUCCAUCCAUUUUCUCCACAAUGAAUGCUCUGCAUUAGCAGCAGCUGCUCCCCAUUUGCUCUUUAUGAAACGUAUGAGAUAACAAAAAUGUUUAAAGUGGAUUUUUGCCUUAGAACAAAAUUACUUUUCUGUCUGUCAUAAACUAAAGGAAGUGAGUCUGAGGAGAAGAAUUAUGCAGCAACGAGCUCCAAAGUUUGCAGAAGUAAACUGAUGGAUUUUAGACUGCUUCUCCAUAACCUCAAGUAUUUCCCUUUAAUUUUUCAGGUGUUUUGUGUGAUGCAUCCUGGUUGGUUACUUACUGCAUGUGUGUAUCUGAUGAUUGAUUGAUUGAUGGGAGAGCUGACAUCAGUUUCAAUCCCUGCUAAACCCUAGUGUUCCAUCACUACAGAAAUUCUGGCACUCAUGCUCCCUGGCCCAUACACAGAACAGCACCACAUAUAAAGCACUGGUAUGCACACACUAGCUCAGUCUUGUUCAAAACCAUUAGCAAAAUAUCUCAGUGCUGGUCAGCUUUGUGCCUAAUCUGCACCUCCUAGCAUGGAUUAAAUCAACUCUGUGUUGUGCCUAGUGGACAAUUCAACAAAAAUACCAUUCUCAAUUUACAUUUGACCCUUAACAACAGGGAAAAUGGACAUCAACACAGGAGCUCAGGUCUAAUAUUAAUGAUUGUGCAGCUUGAAAGACAAGGUCUAGGUUAAUUCCACUGAAAUUUGAGUACUUUGACAAGACAUCCAAAAUCAGCAGCCACCUUAUCCCAGACUUCCACUAUAAUCAAAGGAAAGCUGUACCUACCCCCAGAAUGCUAUUUAACUUAGCUGAUUUUCCACCUGAAUGUGCUUGCCUCUCCCUACUACUAGAAGGGCCCUCAGGCAAUAACUCAGUACUACAGUCAGACAGUAAACUCUGGAACUGAGCAUGGGGUAACACUGCAUCUCUCCUAAGUUUUAUAGGAACACGAAAAGCUGAGGAGGAAAAUAAAUCAUGUAAACCUCUAUUUUGCAGUAAUGCCAGAACAGUGCUGCUGAACAAAACCUGAGAGCACCUCCCUCUCAGAGAAUCUGGGUCUUUACAGCUCAAAUACACUCAGUCAAAGUAUAAACCCAUCCAAAUUAACCAAAACCACUCCCUCUGACCAGAGGGCACCCUGCCUCCCCUCCAUGCUCACUGCAGGUGUUACCUGCCAUGAGAAAUGCCACCCCAGCACGGUUCCUUGCUAUCCAUCCUUUGUAAAUCCACAGCAGCAAAAUCACAGGAAUAAACCACACUGAUUCAAGGGAGAUGAAGCCUUUCAAUAUGCCUCUAGCCUAAAGCUGCCUCUCAGGACAGCAAGUACACUUUUAUUAAGCAGCUCUACAUGGUGAUCUGUGUGAAAUGAGCUCCAGAUCCCAGUGACUGUUCUCCCAAUGCAACUGUGUGCUGAUGGCCUGAAGCACUGCGAGGACUGACCUCCCUCAUCCUCCAGGACAACAGAAUGUUUUACUAUAGGGAAACAGGCUGCACGUGUGGAUUUGCUACCUGUGAAAGCACUUCUUCUGAGAAGAGUGAAAACUUCACUUUCAAGUGCUGUAAACAUCAUAAACACUGGAAACAUUUCAAAGUAAAGCCACAGCUGCCUUUGUCACUAUCACUUUGGCACACUUCACCCCUGAGGUGUCCAGCAAACACACUCUCCUAUGGAAAUGUACUGUUUUGUCCCAGAGCUGGUUAAUGAAGGUUUGUAAGCAAUGCUGCUGAAAUCCCUGGCAGAUAUGCAAGUCACCUCUCCUCAAGGCAGAUGCUGUAGGCUUCUCAGCUUACCCCUUUGAUUUCCACCUUCCUCUAUAUGAACUACCACUCACAACUCACCAGCAAGCAAUUUGUUUUUCUACCAAUAUUAGAAAGGCAAAGGAAAAUAAAGACCCUCAUGGAGAAAGGAUUUUUCUCUAAAAAGAAAGUUUACAGAAGCACAUCAACACACCUGAACAAAGUUUGUGUAUUAGAAGAUAACCUUGCUGCAGCCUGUGUUGUAUUUAUAGGGCUUUUUGAAGCUACUUGCCAUGAAACAAUUUCCUUUCUUUUAAAGAGAGCACUUACCC